UACGAAGGGGGCUAGCGUUGCUCGGAAUCACUGGGCGUAAAGCGCACGUAGGCGGCUUUUUAAGUCAGGGGUGAAAUCCUGGAGCUCAACUCCAGAACUGCCUUUGAUACUGAGAGCUUGAGUCCGGGAGAGGUGAGUGGAACUGCGAGUGUAGAGGUGAAAUUCGUAGAUAUUCGCAAGAACACCAGUGGCGAAGGCGGCUCACUGGCCCGGUACUGACGCUGAGGUGCGAAAGCGUGGGGAGCAAACAGGG
rnacentral:rRNA from 1 species